UACGUAGGUGGCAAGCGUUGUCCGGAUUUACUGGGCGUAAAGAGCUUGUAGGCGGCAUGCUAAGUCCGAUGUGAAAGCCCUCGGCUCAACCGGGGAAGUGCAUUGGAUACUGGCGAGCUUGAGUAUGGGAGAGGAGAGCGGAAUUCCCGGUGUAGAGGUGAAAUUCGUAGAUAUCGGGAGGAACACCAGUGGCGAAGGCGGCUCUCUGGACCAAUACUGACGCUGAGAAGCGAAAGCGUGGGGAGCAAACAGG
rnacentral:rRNA from 1 species